AGAGUUUGAUCAUGGCUCAGAAUGAACGCUGGCGGCGCGCCUAACACAUGCAAGUCGAACGAGAAAUCUCGAGCUUGCUCGAGAGAGUAAAGUAGCGCACGGGUGAGUAACGCGUGGGUAACCUGCCCUUAAGUCUGGGAUAAUCCACCGAAAGGUGGCCUAAUACCGGAUACUGUCCCGAGAACCACGGUUCUCGGGAUGAAAGCUGACCUCCUCAUGAAAGUUGGCGCUUGAGGAGGGGCUCGCGUGCCAUUAGCUUGUUGGUAGGGUAAUGGCCUACCAAGGCUACGAUGGUUAGCUGGCCUGAGGAGACAACCAGCCACACUGGAACUGAAACACGGUCCAGACUCCUACGGGAGGCAGCAGUGGGGAAUCUUGCGCAAUGGGGGAAACCCUGACGCAGCGACGCCGCGUGAGUGAAGAAGGCUUUCGAGUCGUAAAGCUCUGUCAAGUGGGAAUAAAGUCCCGUGGUGAAUAGUCGCGGGAUCUGAAGGUACCACUGGAGGAAGCACCGGCUAACUCCGUGCCAGCAGCCGCGGUAAUACGGAGGGUGCAAGCGUUAUUCGGAUUUAUUGGGCGUAAAGAGCGUGUAGGCGGUCGGGUUAGUCAGAUGUGAAAGCCUUCUGCUCAACAGAAGAAGUACGUCUGAAACUGCCCAACUUGAGUACGAGAGAGGAAAGUGGAAUUCCCAGUGUAGAGGUGAAAUUCGUAGAUAUUGGGAGGAACACCUGUGGCGAAGGCGACUUUCUGGAUCGAUACUGACGCUGAGACGCGAAAGCGUGGGGAGCAAACAGGAUUAGGUACCCUGGUAGUCCACGCCGUAAACGAUGGGAACUAGGUGUAGCGGGUAUUGAUCCCUGCUGUGCCGAAGCUAACGCAUUAAGUUCCCCGCCUGGGGAGUACGGUCGCAAGGCUAAAACUCAAAUGAAUUGACGG
rnacentral:rRNA from 1 species